rnacentral:lncRNA from 1 species
GCAGAAAAUGGACAGCUGCCUGUUCAGCCUGUUGCACCGCCUUAUUGAGAUGGUUUUCGAAACAAGGGACUUGCUAGGCAGUAUUUAGCCACAUAGGGACAUCUGGGAUGAUCUUGUAACUAACCUAGACUACCUUGGCAUGAUCUUGGACCCUAAGGUUCACUAUAUAAGAGCUUGAGUUAUGAACAUUUCAUUCAUUCAUUUUCAACUUUGCAUAAGUUCACUCCUGGAGCUCCUCUGGUCAGCAACAAAUAUUCUUAGCAUCCCUAAUCCUAAUUAGGACUCUUAUUGCUAGUUUAACUCUUUUAUACCCUUUAAAUGCCCAAAAUGCCCUUAUGAGGCGUAAAUAGGAGACCAGUAAAAGACACUUGCAUUUGCUUAUUGUGGUUUAUACUUGCU